rnacentral:rRNA from 1 species
GAUGAACGCUGGCGGCGUGCCUAACACAUGCAAGUCGAACGAUCCUGAUCUUCGGAAAAGGUUAGUGGCGCACGGGUGAGUAACACGUAGGUGACCUGCCCUGGAGUGGGGGAUAACUUCUCGAAAGAGAGGCUAAUACCGCAUACGCUCGGCCAUUCAGUUGGUCGAGUAAAGCUCCGGCGCUCCAGGAGGGGCCUGCGUCCGAUUAGCUAGUUGGUGAGGUAAUGGCUCACCAAGGCGAUGAUCGGUAGCUGGUCUGAGAGGACGAUCAGCCACACUGGCACUGACACACGGGCCAGACUCCUACGGGAGGCAGCAGUGAGGAAUAUUGGACAAUGGGCGCAAGCCUGAUCCAGCAAUGCCGCGUGAGUGAUGAAGGCCUUAGGGUUGUAAAGCUCUUUCACACGCGACGAUGAUGACGGUAGCGUGAGAAGAAGCCCCGGCUAACUCCGUGCCAGCCGCCGCAGUAACAC